rnacentral:rRNA from 1 species
UCGCCCUUCCGCACUCCUACGGGAGGCAGCAGUAGGGAAUCUUCGGCAAUGGACGGAAGUCUGACCGAGCAACGCCGCGUGAGUGAAGAAGGUUUUCGGAUCGUAAAGCUCUGUUGUAAGAGAAGAACGAGUGUGAGAGUGGAAAGUUCACACUGUGACGGUAUCUUACCAGAAAGGGACGGCUAACUACGUGCCAGCAGCCGCGGUAAUACGUAGGUCCCGAGCGUUGUCCGGAUUUAUUGGGCGUAAAGCGAGCGCAGGCGGUUAGAUAAGUCUGAAGUUAAAGGCUGUGGCUUAACCAUAGUACGCUUUGGAAACUGUUUAACUUGUGUGCAGAAGGGGAGAGUGGAAUUCCAUGUGUAGCGGUGAAAUGCGUAGAUAUAUGGAGGAACACCGGUGGCGAAAGCGGCUCUCUGGUCUGUAACUGACGCUGAGGCUCGAAAGCGUGGGGAGCAAAUAGGAUUAGAUACCCUGGUAGUCCACGCCGUAAACGAUGAGUGCUAGGUGUUGGGUCCUUUCCGGGACUCAGUGCCGUAGCUAACGCAUUAAGCACUCCGCCUGGGGAGUACGACCGCAAGGUUGAAACUCAAGGAAUUGACGGGGGCCCGCACAAG